GGUUAAUGAAUGGCCAUGGGUUAUGUACAUUGCAAAAAAAUAAAAAAGACUUUGGAUUUUAAACGAGAUGAAGUAAACUGUCAUAGCAACUGAUGUUUUGGAAAAAUUGAACAUUCCUGUAAUCAGUGUUGCUGGUUCUCUCUCCUCUUUAUUACAAAUUCCAGCUGGAAGACACCAAGUGAAAAUUUUGUCAAGAAAAAUUCUCUGGAGCCAUGUGAAUAAUAACACACCCUGAAUUGAUAUGAAAACAAAUUAUUGCUUCAUAAUAAAGCUGAAGAUUCGUAACAAUUA